CUACGUGCCAGCAGCCGCGGUAAUACGUAGGGCGCGAGCGUUGUCCGGAAUUAUUGGGCGUAAAGAGCUUGUAGGCGGUUUGUCGCGUCUGCUGUGAAAGGCCGGAGCUUAACUCCGUGUAUUGCAGUGGGUACGGGCAGACUAGAGUGCAGUAGGGGAGACUGGAAUUCCUGGUGUAGCGGUGGAAUGCGCAGAUAUCAGGAGGAACACCGAUGGCGAAGGCAGGUCUCUGGGCUGUAACUGACGCUGAGAAGCGAAAGCAUGGGGAGCGAACAGGAUUAGAUACCCUGGUAGUCCAUGCCGUAAACGUUGGGCACUAGGUGUGGGGAACAUUCCACGUUUUCCGCGCCGUAGCUAACGCAUUAAGUGCCCCGCCUGAGGAGUACGGCCGCAAGGCUAAAACUCAAAGAAAUUGACGGGGGCCCGCACAAGCGGCGGAGCAUGCGGAUUAAUUCGAUGCAACGCGAAGAACCUUACCAAGGCUUGACAU
rnacentral:rRNA from 1 species